rnacentral:misc_RNA from 1 species
UUUACCCUCAUUCCAGUCAUGCAGAACAAUUCUAGCAGCAGCUUCAACAUCCACAAUACCACCCUUUUUCAGCCUACCCCUGACAGUAGCCACCUUUUGCAGAAAGUCAUCAACUGAUUCAAAGUUUGGUAUCUUGUAUAGGGUUACCAACAGUCUGGCCGGGCAAAGCUUGAGAAUUUCUUUCACUGGGUUAAUUGGAUCAUCUAGCUUUUCAAUCCUUUUGCAAUUGCGAAGAGCUAUAGAUGCAUCAUUCUCCCCAGACUUGAGCAAUACAACACCAGGACAAUCCA